rnacentral:piRNA from 1 species
UUGAAAUGUGGUUGUCACCUGAGAUGCAGA